rnacentral:misc_RNA from 1 species
GAUGAAGGACGUAGCGAACUGCGAUAAGUAAUGUGAAUUGCAGAAUUCAGUGAAUCAUCGAGUCUUUGAACGCACAUUGCGCCCCCUGGUAUUCCGGGGGGCAUGCCUGUCCGAGCGUCAUUGCUGCCCUCAAGCCCGGCUUGUGUGUUGGGCCGUCGUCCCCCCUCCCGGGGGGACGGGCCCGAAAGGCAGCGGCGGCACCGCGUCCGGUCCUCGAGCGUAUGGGGCUUCGUCACCCGCUCUUGUAGGCCCGGCCGGCGCUUGCCGACACAUCGAUCUUUUUUCCAGGUUGACCUCGGAUCAGGUAGGGAUACCCGCUGAACUUAAGCAUAUCAAUAAGCGGAGGA